AGAGCGAACGCUGGCGGCAGGCUUAACACAUGCAAGUCGAGCGCCCCGCAAGGGGAGCGGCAGACGGGUGAGUAACGCGUGGGAACAUACCCUCCGGUUCGGAAUAGCUCAGGGAAACUUGGAUUAAUACCGGAUACGGCCUAGCGGCGAAAGAUUCAUCGCCGGAGGAUUGGCCCGCGUUCGAUUAGCUAGUUGGUGAGGUAACGGCUCACCAAGGCGACGAUCGAUAGCUGGUCUGAGAGGAUGAUCAGCCACAUUGGGACUGAGACACGGCCCAAACUCCUACGGGAGGCAGCAGUGGGAAUAUUGGACAAUGGGCGCAAGCCUGAUCCAGCCAUGCCGCGUGAGUGAUGACGGCCUUAGGGUUGUAAAGCUCUUUCGCUAGGGACGAUAAUGACGGUACCUAGACAAGAAGCCCCGGCUAACUUCGUGCCAGCAGCCGC
rnacentral:rRNA from 1 species